CCUAAGAGAUAGGGAAAUUCCAUUUGCAAGCGCCCGAUCUUGGGCCGCCUAUCGAAAGGGAAUCGGGUUAAUAUUCCCGA
rnacentral:rRNA from 1 species